GCAAGAGUGGUGUAGUGGUUUGAGCAUUAAACUACAGAGCUGGCGAUCAGGGUUCGAUUCCCUGUUCAGCCA